UGGUUUGUAGGUACUGAUUGGUUAAUUAGGUUCUGUCUUGGUUGCUGACUGAUAUCCGACAACUGUUGCUGCGGCUGCAUAAUGGAACCUGCUGGACUCAAUGUGGUAGUUGGUAUCUUCUGAAGCUGGUCGAGCUGCUGAACCUGUUGGGUUGGCCUUUGGGAACCAAACUGCAAAGUAUUCUGCUGAGGAAGCUGAGGUGCUGGUAGACAUAACUGACGCGAGAGGUCUGCUCCACCUCCUACAUUCUGUAGCACGGAACCAGACAAAGAAUGCAGGUAGUUCGGUUGCAUUGAGUUAGCCAAAGAAGGAUUCUGUUGCAUGUUCAUCCAUUGGACUAAGCUCAGGCCUGGAAGACCUUGCGG
rnacentral:misc_RNA from 1 species